CCUACGGGGGGCAGCAGUGAGGAAUAUUGGUCAAUGGACGAGAGUCUGAACCAGCCAAGUAGCGUGAAGGAUGACUGCCCUAUGGGUUGUAAACUUCUUUUAUAUGGGAAUAAAAUGUUCCACGUGUGGGAUUUUGUAUGUACCAUAUGAAUAAGGAUCGGCUAACUCCGUGCCAGCAGCCGCGGUAAUACGGAGGAUCCGAGCGUUAUCCGGAUUUAUUGGGUUUAAAGGGAGCGUAGGUGGAUUGUUAAGUCAGUUGUGAAAGUUUGCGGCUCAACCGUAAAAUUGCAGUUGAAACUGGCAGUCUUGAGUACAGUAGAGGUGGGCGGAAUUCGUGGUGUAGCGGUGAAAUGCUUAGAUAUCACGAAGAACUCCGAUUGCGAAGGCAGUUCACUGGACUGCAACUGACACUGAGGCUCGAAAGUGUGGGUAUCAAACAGGACUAGAUACCCCAGUAGUC
rnacentral:rRNA from 1 species